AUGGCGUCCCUUUUCAAGGACCCGAGCAAGCUGUCGGUGUACAGGGACCGGCGGUUCCCUGGGACGCAGGAGGAGUUUGAGGCGGCGCUGCUGGCGUCGCUGACGGUGUACGUGGGGAACAUGUCCUUCUACACCACGGAGGAGCAGGCCUACGAGCUGUUCUCCCGCGCCGGCGAGAUAAAAAAGAUCAUCAUGGGCCUCGACAAGAACACAAAGACCCCCUGCGGCUUCUGCUUCGUACUGUACUACUCCAGGGAAGAUGCUGAAGAUGCAGUAAAAUAUAUUAGUGGCACAAUGCUUGAUGAUCGCCCAAUCCGUGUUGAUUUUGAUUGGGGCUUUGAAGAAGGCAGGCAAUGGGGCCGUGGAAGGAGUGGUGGACAAGUCCGAGAUGAGUACCGCACGGAUUAUGAUCCUGGAAGAGGUGGCUAUGGCAAGAUGGUUCAGAAAGAGCUAGAAGCACAAAGAGAAUUAGUUGACUAUGGUGUAGGUUUUCAAACGAAUGCUCCACCGCAGUUUGAUAGAGCUGACAGGAAGAGAGGAUAUGGCGACCGGAAUGACAGAGGAGAUUACCAACGGAGACGGUCGGCACCAGAUAUGGCCAGGAGAGCAACUGACUCGGAUUCUAAGAGAGAUGCUAAUCAAGAGCCUGAAAAGAAUCCCAGGUUUCGCGAGAAAGGUGAUUCUGAUGAUGAAGAUGAUGACUACGAUAAGAAACGCCGGCGCUGA
rnacentral:rRNA from 1 species